rnacentral:rRNA from 1 species
GAUGAACGCUGGCGGCGUGCUUAACACAUGCAAGUCGAACGGUGAAGGCGGAGCUUGCUCUGCUGGAUCAGUGGCGAACGGGUGAGUGACACGUGAGCAAUCUGCCCCUGACUCUGGGAUAAGCGCUGGAAACGGCGUCUAAUACUGGAUACGAGCUGCGAAGGCAUCUUCAGCAGCUGGAAAGAACUUCGGUCAGGGAUGAGCUCGCGGCCUAUCAGCUUGUUGGUGAGGUAACGGCUCACCAAGGCGUCGACGGGUAGCCGGCCUGAGAGGGUGACCGGCCACACUGGGACUGAGACACGGCCCAGACUCCUACGGGAGGCAGCAGUGGGGAAUAUUGCACAAUGGGCGAAAGCCUGAUGCAGCAACGCCGCGUGAGGGACGACGGCCUUCGGGUUGUAAACCUCUUUUAGCAGGGAAGAAGCGAAAGUGACGGUACCUGCAGAAAAAGCGCCGGCUAACUACGUG